rnacentral:rRNA from 1 species
GACGAACGCUGGCGGCGUGCUUAACACAUGCAGGUCGAACGGAAAGGCCCUGCUUUUGUGGGGUGCUCGAGUGGCGAACGGGUGAGUAACACGUGAGUAACCUGCCCUUGACUUUGGGAUAACUUCAGGAAACUGGGGCUAAUACCGGAUAGGAGCUCCUGCUGCAUGGUGGGGGUUGGAAAGUUUCGGCGGUUGGGGAUGGACUCGCGGCUUAUCAGCUUGUUGGUGGGGUAGUGGCUUACCAAGGCUUUGACGGGUAGCCGGCCUGAGAGGGUGAACGGCCACAUUGGGACUGAGAUACGGCCCAGACGCCUACGGGAGGCAGAAGUGGGGAAUAUUGCACAAUGGGCGGAAGCCUGAUGCAGCAACGCCGCGUGCGGGAUGACGGCCUUCGGGUUGUAAACCGCUUUCGCCUGUGACGAAGCGUGUGUGACGGUAAUGGGUAAAGAAGCACCGGCUAACUACGUG